rfam:Myotis davidii contig58568, whole genome shotgun sequence.
AGGGCCAGAGAGAGAAGCAGGGUCUGAUCUGCAGCCUCUGUGGCAGCUGUUGAUCAGCCUUUGCCUCUCUUUCUCUCCA